CCUACGGGUGGCAGCAGUGAGGAAUAUUGGUCAAUGGACGAGAGUCUGAACCAGCCACGUAGCGUGAAGGAUGACUGCCCUAUGGGUUGUAAACUUCUUUUAUAUGGGAAUAAAAUGUUCCACGUGUGGGAUUUUGUAUGUACCAUAUGAAUAAGGCUCGGCUAACUCCGUGCCAGCAGCCGCGGUAAUACGGAGGAUCCGAGCGUUAUCCGGAUUUAUUGGGUUUAAAGGGAGCGUAGGUGGAUUGUUAAGUCAGUUGUGAAAGUUUGCGGCUCAACCGUAAAAUUGCAGUUGAAACUGGCAGUCUUGAGUACAGUAGAGGUGGGCGGAAUUCGUGGUGUAGCGGUGAAAUGCUUAGAUAUCACGAAGAACUCCGAUUGCGAAGGCAGUUCACUGGACUGCAACUGACACUGAGGCUCGAAAGUGUGGGUAUCAAACAGGAUUAGAUACCCUUGUAGUC
rnacentral:rRNA from 1 species